rnacentral:rRNA from 1 species
AGUGAACGCUGGCGGUAGGCCUAACACAUGCAAGUCGAACGGCAGCACAGGAGAGCUUGCUCUCUGGGUGGCGAGUGGCGGACGGGUGAGGAAUACAUCGGAAUCUACUCUGUCGUGAGGGAUAACGUAGGGAAACUUACGCUAAUACCGCAUACGACCUACGGGUGAAAGCAGGGGAUCUUCGGACCUUGCGCGAUUGAAUGAGCCGAUGGCGGAUUAGCUAGUUGGCGGGGUAAAGGCCCACCAAGGCGACGAUCCGUAGCUGGUCUGAGAGGAUGAUCAGCCACACUGGAACUGAGACACGGUCCAGACUCCUACGGGAGGCAGCAGUGGGGAAUAUUGGACAAUGGGCGCAAGCCUGAUCCAGCCAUACCGCGUGGGUGAAGAAGGCCUUCGGGUUGUAAAGCCCUUUUGUUGGGAAAGAAAUCCAGCUGGCUAAUACCCGGUUGGGAUGACGGUACCCAAAGAAUAAGCACCGGCUAACUUCGUGCCAGCCGCCGCGGUAA